UACGAAGGGGGCUAGCGUUGCUCGGAAUCACUGGGCGUAAAGCGCACGUAGGCGGGUCCUUAAGUCAGGGGUGAAAUCCUGGAGCUCAACUCCAGAACUGCCUUUGAUACUGAGGAUCUCGAGUUCGGGAGAGGUGAGUGGAACUGCGAGUGUAGAGGUGAAAUUCGUAGAUAUUCGCAAGAACACCAGUGGCGAAGGCGGCUCACUGGCCCGAUACUGACGCUGAGGUGCGAAAGCGUGGGGAGCAA
rnacentral:rRNA from 1 species